rnacentral:rRNA from 1 species
GAUGAACGCUGGCGGCGUGCCUAAUACAUGCAAGUCGAGCGGUAAGGCCCUUCGGGGUACACGAGCGGCGGACGGCUGAGUAACACGUAGGAACAUACCCCAAAGUGAGGGAUAAGCACCAGAAAUGGUGUCUAAUACCGCAUGUGCUCUAAGGAGUAAAGCUUCGGCGCUUUGGGAAUGGCCUGCGUCCGAUUAGCUUGUUGGUGAGGUAACAGCUCACCAAGGCGACGAUCGGUAGCUGGUCUGAGAGGAUGAUCAGCCAGACUGGGACUGAGACACGGCCCAGACUCCUACGGGAGGCAGCAGUAGGGAAUUUUCCACAAUGGGCGAAAGCCUGAUGGAGCAACGCCGCGUGCAGGAUGAAGGCCUUAGGGUUGUAAACUGCUUUUAUAUGUGACGAUUAUGACGGUAGCAUAUGAAUAAGGAUCGGCUAACUCCGUGCCAGCAGCCGCCGUAAAAC